AUGAGAGAUGAUGUUGCAUGUUUCCUAAUAGGAACAGAUUGUUUAAAUGAAACAAAAUCCAUGUUAUCCUCUGAAACAUUGAUUACUGACCAAGUAGAAGAAAGGGGAGGGAGGGAGGAAGGAAGGAAGGAAGGAAGGAAGGAAAGAAGAAAGAAAGAAAGAAAGAAAGAAAAAAGAAAGGAAGAAAGGAAGGAAGGAAGAGGAAGGAAGGAAGGAAGGAAGGAAGGAAGGAAGGAAGGAAGGAAGGAAGGAAGGAAGGAAGGAAGGAAGGAGGCAAGGAAGGAAGGAAGGAAGGAAGGAAGGAAGGAGGCAAGGAAGGAAGGAAGGAAGGAAGGAAGGAAGGAAGCAAGGAAGGAAAGGAGGGAGGGAGAGAGUGAGAGUGUGAGACAGAUAGAGAAAGAGAGAGAAAGAAAGUAAGAUAGAAAGAAAGAAAGAAAGAAAGAAAGAAAGAAAGUAAAGAAAGAAAGAAAUAAAGACACACCCAGAGAGAAAGAGAGAGAGAGA
rnacentral:lncRNA from 1 species